rnacentral:rRNA from 1 species
GACGAACGCUGGCGGCGUGCUUAACACAUGCAAGUCGAACGGAAAGGCCCUGCUUGCCGGGUGCUCGAGUGGCGAACGGGUGAGUAACACGUGGGUGAUCUGCCCCUUACUUUGGGAUAAGCCUGGGAAACUGGGUCUAAUACUGGAUAGGACCAUGCUGUAGGUGGUGUGGUGGAAAGAUUAGUUUCGGUAAGGGAUGAGCUCGCGGCCUAUCAGCUUGUUGGUGGGGUAAUGGCCUACCAAGGCGUCGACGGGUAGCCGGCCUGAGAGGGUGGACGGCCACAUUGGGACUGAGAGACGGCCCAGACGCCUACGGGAGGCAGCAGUGGGGAAUAUUGCACAAUGGGCGCAAGCCUGAUGCAGCGACGCCGCGUGGGGGAUGACGGCCUUCGGGUUGUAAACUCCUUUCAGCCAUGACGAAGCCCUUGUGGUGACGGUAGUGGUAGAAGAAGCACCGGCUAACUACGUG